rnacentral:rRNA from 1 species
UACGAAGGGGGCUAGCGUUGUUCGGAAUUACUGGGCGUAAAGCGCACGUAGGCGGAUUUUUAAGUCGGGGGUGAAAUCCCGGGGCUCAACCCCGGAACAGCCUCCGAUACUGGAAAUCUAGAGUCCGAGAGAGGUGAGUGGAAUUCCGAGUGUAGAGGUGAAAUUCGUAGAUAUUCGGAGGAACACCAGUGGCGAAGGCGGCUCACUGGCUCGGUACUGACGCUGAGGUGCGAAAGCGUGGGGAGCAAAC